GCAUUCGUAGCUCAGCUGGAUAGAGCGUUGCCCUCCGGAGGCAAAGGUCGUGGGUUCAAAUCCCUCCGAAUGCGCCA
rnacentral:tRNA from 2 species